AACCGAGAACUCCUACGGGAGGCAGCAGUGGGGAAUAUUGGACAAUGGGGGGAACCCUGAUCCAGCCAUGCCGCGUGUGUGAAGAAGGCCUUUUGGUUGUAAAGCACUUUAAGCGAGGAGGAGGCUACUCUAGUUAAUACCUAGGGAUAGUGGACGUUACUCGCAGAAUAAGCACCGGCUAACUCUGUGCCAGCAGCCGCGGUAAUACAGAGGGUGCGAGCGUUAAUCGGAUUUACUGGGCGUAAAGCGUGCGUAGGCGGCUUUUUAAGUCGGAUGUGAAAUCCCUGAGCUUAACUUAGGAAUUGCAUUCGAUACUGGGAAGCUAGAGUAUGGGAGAGGAUGGUAGAAUUCCAGGUGUAGCGGUGAAAUGCGUAGAGAUCUGGAGGAAUACCGAUGGCGAAGGCAGCCAUCUGGCCUAAUACUGACGCUGAGGUACGAAAGCAUGGGGAGCAAACAGGAUUAGAAACCCGAGUAGUCCGACUGAGA
rnacentral:rRNA from 1 species